rnacentral:misc_RNA from 1 species
GAGUCGCGGCUCAACUCACCGAGUUUACAACUCACAACGUUGAAACGUAAUGAUACCCCAAACUGUUCUGCGAGUUGACUCAGGGUACUACCAACCACCUUCAACCUCUCUUUCUCUUCCCCUACAUUAUCAGCGACAGCCGUGAUCUUCACAGUGGAAGGCUUCCCAUUCAAACGCUCACGUAGCGCGUGCAGAAGAUUUACGUAUUGCCAUCCCUGCCCUAUGUCGAAAUCAAUAACAUGAAACUCGCUGCUGGAGUUGGGCUGGUCUACUGUAGCCUCAAGAAUUGCGAGAUUAGCGGCCAUGAACCCAAGUUUGAAACAAGGAGAGAGUUCAUACAGUAACUGGGUCGACCCAAUAUGUUCCUUGCUAUACAGCUCCGCCACUG